rnacentral:rRNA from 1 species
GACGAACGCUGGCGGCGUGCCUAAUACAUGCAAGUGGGACGCAAGGACACACACUGUGCUUGCACACCGUGUUUUCUUGAGUCGCGAACGGGUGAGUAACGCGUAGGUAACCUGCCUAUUAGCGGGGGAUAACUAUUGGAAACGAUAGCUAAUACCGCAUAAUAUUAAUUAUUGCAUGAUAAUUGAUUGAAAGAUGCAAGCGCAUCACUAGUAGAUGGACCUGCGUUGUAUUAGCUAGUUGGUAAGGUAAGAGCUUACCAAGGCGACGAUACAUAGCCGACCUGAGAGGGUGAUCGGCCACACUGGGACUGAGACACGGCCCAGACUCCUACGGGAGGCAGCAGUAGGGAAUCUUCGGCAAUGGACGAAAGGCUGACCGAGCAACGCCGCGUGAGUGAAGAAGGUUGUCGGAUCGUAAAGCUCUGUUGUAAGUCAAGAACGUGUGUGAGAGUGGAAAGUUCACACAGUGACGGUAGCUUACCAGAAAGGGACGGCUAACUACGUG